GGUGGUAUAGCUCAAGUGGUAGAGCACAUGCUUAGCAUGCACGAGGUCCUGGGUUCAAUCCCCAGUAACGCCU
rfam:Camelus ferus unplaced genomic scaffold scaffold252, whole genome shotgun sequence.